CAUUUCUUUGGAUAUAAUUUUUUUUUAAAUCACUGCUAUAGUUUUUUAAACAUGGAAUGGAUAAUCCUCACAAACGACACAUAGCUAGUAUUUUAUAUUCACUUGAUUUUGACUAAAAUUAGGUUUUUGUAAAUCGGAUGACGUCAUGCGUGAUAAAUUGCUUUACGGCACCUUGUGUCUCUCCUUCCCUUUCCUUUCCCUCGCAGCAACAGCUGCAUACGAUCGCAGCUGAUUUGGCUCCGUGGGACUGAUUUGAACUCGGCUCUACAUGUUUUGAAAAGAUCCCUCACCGCAUUAAAGAACCUGGUUGAAGGCCUCAUCAAAUUCGCGUUGGGAGUGAAGCGUUUGGCUUCCAGAAAUGGGUGCUCCUGUGGAGACGCGUAACUGUGAUCAUGCAGUGUGGAGCCCAGCAGCAGCACUUCACAGUGAUGACAGACCUGGAUGGCUUGAUCCUUCUGCAGCAUCCUGACCAACCAGCCGGCAACAUAAAAUAGCCCCUCUUCGAGGAUACAGUCACCAAUGGUCUAUGGAGAUGACCUGGUCCUCCACAAUAUCCUGCGCCACCAUUUCCUCAGUGGUCCCCUCUGUAGGCAGUGUUUUGGGCUGGAGAGUGAGGGUGGCUGGAUUGUGGUCCCCGGGGGAUGGAGUGGUGGGCUGAGGUAACAUUUCACUCUAUGGAGGUAAGUGGAAGUAAUGUUAAUUCACACGCAAGACAUGCAAGGGCAUAUUUAGGUUGUAUUGCACAUUGUAGCCUGUGCAUUUAUAUUUUAGUUAUAUAUCAGUGUAGUUUGUAUCAUUAUAUUUGUAUUUUACUUUGUAUUAUUCCUGACCCAUAGUUAUUGUUAUCAUAAUAACAAUGUUGUCUACAAUGACCUGCACCUCCAUAUCCUCAUUGGUCCUGGAAGGUGGAGCGGCGAGUUGAAGGUUGGCCAGAAGAGGAAA